AUGGAUAUGACGUUCUCAUUGAGGCGAAAGGAGGUUGUCGUCAAACAGCCCAUUGUGGCAGAGUUGAAAGACAAAUGGCCAGCUUUGUUCUUUAAAGACCAGAUUGUUGAGGAGUUUUUCCGUAUUCAAACAAAGACUUACUUGGAACAUUCAGAGCUGCAGUAGAAAAAUAUGUGCCCCUACUGCUGAAUAUGUAUCGCGCCCUAAAAACAGAGUUUGGCAAGGACCUAAAGGAGAUACUGAGAAAGCUUGAUGAUGAGACCACCAACAUCGUCAGACACCGCAAGGAAGCAGCCAUGAAAGGACUUCCUGUGUUCCUACAUGAAGAUCCCAAUCAACUUUUCAAGCAGUGUCUUGAAACUGAUCCAGAUGAUGUGGCUGCGAAGGGAGUCACUGUGGGAGUUUUGUAGGUCCUUGAGGACUGUGUGGCUGAAGCCUCGUCCCCCAAGAUCCAAAACAUUGCACUCUUCUUAGAGGAAUCGAUAGUAGUAGAGGACCUUCUGGAUACUCCCACUGCCUUGGCUUACCUUCUCGGCCUCCUUUAUGCACUCAAUAUUUCCUAUCCUGGGGGCCUUAAGUACACACACUUCAGAAGGUUGUCAUAGACAUUGGCCCAAAAUGCUCUAACCGUGUGCGAUCUCUA